GGACGCGAAGGCGAAAAGGCGAGCCGCCGGCAAACGGGUUGCGCAGCCGGUGAAGGGUAAUACCGAGACCAUUCGGAGUAAUGCCCGAAGUCAUGGUUAUUGUGGGUUCGAGUCCCACCGCGUCCA
rnacentral:tRNA from 1 species